GUAAUUAGGGACAAAGCAACUAGUCCAGACGGGACCUUUCUGGUUCCAGCCCACCCAGCCAAUCAAUAUGCAUUAAUCAUUACACGCUUAUUGUUAACGUGAUUCAGCUUCAGUGACUCACUGGGAUCACACACAGGACAGUCUGUUGUGACUCGAGACGGGCCAGAGAGCUUAAGGAAUUGAGAAACAUGUUUUGCCUUAAAGGUGCAGAACACUCCGGUGAUGAGUCAGAAGAGCCCAACGAUAAGGCAGAGAGCAAGGCAAGCUAAUGAAGGAUUUGGGGAAGCGUGCAGACGGCUCCUUCUUAGCAGUGUCUGCAUGGCCAAGUCAGCACGGGGCACGCGCUGCUUAGCAUUGUAGUAAUUUUUCAUUUCCAGAUGCCUCAUCCUUCCAGCUCGGGUUGUACACUCCAGAAGGGCAGGGGCCGCAUUGCUUCCGCCUGGGUCUCCAGCACCUACGGCGGAGCCUCGGGGAGACUGGCUGCGGACAAAGUGUGUGAUGUUGACCAAAUAAAGAAGAAAAGACAUAUGAAGACACAGUGAAAAGGGGACCAUCUAAACGCCAGGAAGAGGGCUCUCACCAGAAACCAAGUUAGCCAGUGCCUUGAUCUUGGACUUCCCAACCUUCAGAACUAUGAGAAAUACAUUUCUGUUGUUUGAGCCAGCCAGUCUGUGGUAUUUUGUUAUGGUAACCCAAGCAGACGAAUACAUAGGUUAUUGAUAAAAGCCAGAUUCUAAAUUUUUU